AAAAAAAAAAAAUAAUGCAGAAGUGAAAACAAAUCCCCAAACCCAACUGCGCUGUCGGCGUUGCCACCUGGCCGCCCUAAAAAUAACCAAAGAAGCACACCUACAAACAAUGAGACAAAGAGAGAGGGAGCGAUAGAGCGCAAGAGAGAGAGAGAGAGAGAGAUACGCAGCGCAACAAUAUUAUAUGGCCACAAAUUUGGCUCGCUCGUUCAACUGGGGAUUUAACUUGCAUGCGGUUCUAGUGGGCAACAGCUGUUUGGAUGGCGCAAGAUGGAAGGCAAAAAAAAACCCUGGCCAACUGAUGAUAGGGAGACGCCGGCAACCAACUGGGCGAAUACUUCAAAUCGGUCGGUCGGUCGGUUGGGCAGACUAGCUAUUUGCAAAAUGCUUGACCAACUUCUGAACUUUUGAGUAACUUUUGAUGGCAUUUGCAAUUGUUUGUUGUUGCGUCGAGUGUUCGCAGUUUGCCCCAUGUCGCCAACAUGCUUAUUAUUGUUGCUGUUGUUGUUGUUGUUGUUGUUACUGAAUACCCUAAGUGUUUUAAUCGGACCACAACUGAGGCAUUAA
rnacentral:sRNA from 1 species